GCGAACGGGUGACUAACACGUGAGUAACCUGCCCUUAACUCUGGGAUAAGCCUGGGAAACUGGGUCUAAUACCGGAUAGGAGCGUCCACCGCAUGGUGGGUGUUGGAAAGAUUUAUCGGUUUUGGAUGGACUCGCGGCCUAUCAGCUUGUUGGUGAGGUAAUGGCUCACCAAGGCGACGACGGGUAGCCGGCCUGAGAGGGUGACCGGCCACACUGGGACUGAGACACGGCCCAGACUCCUACGGGAGGCAGCAGUGGGGAAUAUUGCACAAUGGGCGAAAGCCUGAUGCAGCGACGCCGCGUGAGGGAUGACGGCCUUCGGGUUGUAAACCUCUUUCAGUAGGGAAGAAGCGAAAGUGACGGUACCUGCAGAAGAAGCACCGGCUAACUACGUGCCAGCAGCCGCGGUAAUACGUAGGGUGCGAGCGUUAUCCGGAAUUAUUGGGCGUAAAGAGCUCGUAGGCGGUUUGUCGCGUCUGUCGUGAAAGUCCGGGGCUUAACCCCGGAUCUGCGGUGGGUACGGGCAGACUAGAGUGCAGUAGGGGAGACUGGAAUUCCUGGUGUAGCGGUGGAAUGCGCAGAUAUCAGGAGGAACACCGAUGGCGAAGGCAGGUCUCUGGGCUGUAACUGACGCUGAGGAGCGAAAGCAUGGGGAGCGAACAGGAUUAGAUACCCUGGUAGUCCAUGCCGUAAACGUUGGGCACUAGGUGUGGGGACCAUUCCACGGUUUCCGCGCCGCAGCUAACGCAUUAAGUGCCCCGCCUGGGGAGUACGGCCGCAAGGCUAAAACUCAAAGGAAUUGACGGGGGCCCGCACAAGCGGCGGAGCAUGCGGAUUAAUUCGAUGCAACGCGAAGAACCUUACCAAGGCUUGACAUGUUCUCGAUCGCCGUAGAGAUACGGUUUCCCCUUUGGGGCGGGUUCACAGGUGGUGCAUGGUUGUCGUCAGCUCGUGUCGUGAGAUGUUGGGUUAAGUCCCGCAACGAGCGCAACCCUCGUUCCAUGUUGCCAGCACGUCGUGGUGGGGACUCAUGGGAGACUGCCGGGGUCAACUCGGAGGAAGGUGAGGACGACGUCAAAUCAUCAUGCCCCUUAUGUCUUGGGCUUCACGCAUGCUACAAUGGCCGGUACAAUGGGUUGCGAUACUGUGAGGUGGAGCUAAUCCCAAAAAGCCGGUCUCAGUUCGGAUUGGGGUCUGCAACUCGACCCCAUAAGUCGGAGUCGCUAGUAAUCGCAGAUCAGCAACGCUUCGGAAUACUGGCGU
rnacentral:rRNA from 1 species